rnacentral:lncRNA from 1 species
GAACUUCAUCCUUGCUCACUUCUUCUACAUCGUCAUGGUAAAACUAAAGCCUAGAAAACAAAGUAAACCUAAUACUCCAGCUGUAUAUAUCUUGAGGGUUGUAGGAGUUCGGGCAUUGCAUAGAUAGGUCAUCUCUUUCGCAAUAGUCUACAUUUUUGCUUCUUUUCUCAAAUAUCCUUAGGUUUCUCUCAAUCCAUAUUGCAUCAAUACAUUCAUCAAGGGUCAUCUUGAACAAUUGACGUUGUUUGGAUUUGCCUUUAGAUUUGGUGAGGUACCACUGGGAA